GGAGACUCUGCUUAAGCUUCUGAUUUCAUCCAAGCCUUACAAGGCCAUCCUUCACACAGCACUCUCUCACUGUCUGUUCUUUGCAGAGACUGCGAACAGAACUCAGCACAGAGCAUCUACAGAGACUGAGGGGUGGUUGUGGCUGCCUUGGAGUCUGUUCAGCAGGUAAGAACCUUCUGGCUGUACUGGACCCUCGGAAGACCGUACCGGAGCUCAGCAACCCGCACUGGUGUGGAUGUGUGAUCCAGCCCUGGGCUUGCUUGGAAGAGGCAGGAGUGCAGUGAUUCCUACUGCUGAACUUGUCCUGGUGUACUGCAGCUCUGCCAGGGAAACACAGGUUUGUGAUCUCCCAGUGUUUAAGGUGCAGCUGGGUCCAAAGCACGGCCCACAAACGUUGCCAUGAUUUAGCGUUUGAGCUGUUGUGCCGCAGAAUGCGGGGAAGGGACACAAGCUCACCAGCUUUAUCAGCUCCUGUGUGUGCACAACAGUGUCUGUGCCCUGCAGUCUUCUUGUGCCUCUCCCAGAUUUGCAGUUCGGUUGUAAAUGCAAUUCUGUUUUAUUUUUUUUAAGGAUACCCCCUCUUCCCCCCAAAACUUAAGAGCUAUUUAAACAGUUGCAGGCAAUUUAGCAUGGGCCAUCUCCACACCCUUCCCCCGCUGCUGAUACAGCCUGUUCAAAUGAGCCAUUGAUAUUUGUGUUUCAAAUCACACCUGCUAAAAUAAUAAUAAUCCAAAACACAGUAUUUCUUUAAUUCCAAAAUUUGUACAAGUUUACAAAUCAAUAUACCACCACACAAAGUAGUGAAAGGAAGAUAUGUUUAACAACGCUUUAACGUUUUACUAUAUCAUAACAAUGUUCAAAUAUUUUUAAAUUUGACAUAGUAUUGCAAGAUUUUUUGUAAUAUAAAGAAUUUAUGCUUGAACAAGAAGAUACAGAUAAUACCAUUGCUUUCUUUGUUUCUAUCCAAUGCAAUAUGUAGCUUCUAUAAAAUAUUGGUGAAAUGCUGUAUCUAGUUCAUAUAAGCUUUAUUUCCAGGAAAAUCUUGAAACGAAAUGGGAACACAAAGUAAAACAAGACCUUAUUAAUUAUUUGAGUUAAUAAAUAUAAACCUGUUUGAACAUUAUAGCAAAUAUAUGUUAAUUUCACUCCAUUUCCCUCUUUCUCUGUAUAGAUACAGUUUCGUAAAUUUUGGUGGGGUUUUUUUUUCAGAUUUCUGUUAAAUAGAAGUUUUAAACUAUUCUGGGAACUGCUUUGUUUUGUUUUUAAUUUGACCUUCAAAAUAGUUCUGUAUCAUCUUUAUAAAAUCUUUCAGAAUAUAUAUUUUUCUUUUCAUCAUAAUCUAUGCCCCACCAGUGAAUAUUGCACUGAUCUUGGUAUAAUAAGACUGCAGCUAGCAACAAUAAUGGAACUAAACGUGGAAGAUCCUAAAGGCAGGAGGCAAGUUUAUUCAUACUUGUUUUUUUCACCCUGAGUAUAUUUGCGGUUUAGUUUACAACAAUGGCACAGGUCCUAACUCCUGAAGAUCAUUAAAACCAGAGGAUGUGAAAGUGUUAAACACACCAUUCAUGUGCACCUGACAGUCUCAUGCAAAUGUAAGCUUUUAGCUUGGUUUGCUUUGUCAUUAAAGCAUUAACAGACAUUAAGACGUGGGCCAAUAUCGUGGUCUCUGCUUAGGAUGUCAGCAGUGCUCACACAGACCUGUGCUGCCAGGUACCCAGGUGACAGUGUGGCUCUCCCUGCCCUGACUCCAAGCCCUGCCAGCUGCAGGCAGUCAGGGAGUUUUGAUUGAUUCCCAGGCUGCCAGGCUGGAUUAGAUGUUUUUAGUCUGUUGCUGGCUGGAUCUUUUUGUACUUUAUGAUGAUACAAAAUCAGAGCUCAGAUAGAGCUUAUAGUCAGGUUAAGCAGCUGUUAAUUUGAAAGAAAUUCUCUCAUGUAGCUGUAGCAUUAUUAGUUACAGGUCUGAGUUUGAAGCAUCUCUGCAGGAAACCAAGCACUCACUUCACCUGGAAGGAGGGGUCUAAUUUCUGUAAUAUCAGGGAUACUUCAUACCUUUGUUUCACAGCUUUCAUUUGGCUUUCAAGUUAAAAAAAUGGGUGCUUAUCUGAUGUGGUUUUUC